CAAAUCACCAAGGAAACCACGUCCACUGCAGUGGCCUCAAACUGUGCGGCCCUGCCCACACCUCUGACCGUGCAUCAUGGGAUCAAUAAUGUUAGAUGAGACACUGUGAAAUGAGGUAAAAUGUAGGCAUAGCCGGUUCUCUCCAAAUAGGAGAGAUUGAAUGAGUGGUUAAUGCAGGUGUGCAGGCUGAACUCCAAGGUGUAGCUCCACCAGUACCGUCCACACCAUUAAUGGUUUCAACACCACUGGUGCCCAGUGCCUCAGGCACUUCCAACUUUGCCACCACCGUCAUAUCACUGAGAUCAAGAAGGAGCUUGGGGAACAUCUUAACGCCAGGAACCUCAGAAAGAAGAAAAGGUGUUUAUCCUGACAUUGAAUCCUGGACACAUCCUAGCCUUUACAACGGGAAGCAGCAAAGUUCCUGCAGUUGGAUUUCUUCCCAGUCCAAAACUGACUUUUGUUCAUGAUAACAGAGCUUUGUUAACAGAAAGAAUCUGUCGGAUGACAAUGAAUUUGAUUACAAUUUUCUGCUGGCUCUCAUGAAUGGAUCCGGUUUUAAUGCAGUCUAAUCUAUAAAAAAAAACAAUGCGUGGAUUGUACAUUUGGAACCGAGAGCUUUUAAAGGAUGGACAUCAGGUUUACAAGCUGAGAAUCUGGUGUAGCAUGUUCUUUGAGUUGUUAAAACUGUUAAAACGUUGUUUCUCCUAAACUCUGAUCUGAACUACAGUCAGUCAGCAUGCUAUAUUCUCCUGUAAAAACAUUAUCAAUGUGUUCUCAAUAGUGUAAAAUGACACAGUAAUUCCUUCAUCAACUUUCUAUUUCUUUGAAUGCAUUUCCAAGAAAGAAAAGAUUUAACAGGAGCUCUGUGUCCUUCAGAGGAAUUUUCACCUUUCGCCUUGCUGAUGGCUGAACUCAAGAGGUUCAUAACAGUUUCACCCCGAUUGUUGUUGGAACACUGGAGAAAUGUUAACAUUCUACUGUAACCAACCAUUGCGCUAUGUACAACUAGUUUCCAUCUUAUCAGUUUAUGAUUGCCGUCUACGUGCCAUAUAUAGUUUGGACAAGGCACAGUGUAUACUAAUGUUUUGAUUAAUUUCUUGCUUUUAUGAGGUUGCACUCUUGUCAGAUUAUUAUGUCAUCAACGUGUCCAGUUGUCAGUAUUGUGCAUAUUGCAGUAUUGCUCUGUUCUCAGUUGUGUUCUCGUCUGAUUAAUAUUAACUGUUCAUUUUAGCUGUAUCAGACACAGACUAUUGUUCUUAUUCCCUUUAAUUAUUCAAAUGCAGUAUUUCAAGUAAGUGGCCAGUUCCCAUAAACAGACCAUUCCAGAAACUCUGAAUAAGCUGUGUAUGGCUUCAGUAAUGAACAUCCUGCAUUGUCCUUGUGUUCUGGUGAACAUGUACCUGGAGGAUGUGAAAUGAGAGUAUUUGCAGACCAUCAGUAUAGUGUAAUUUGUGUUAUUGGUGGCUAGCUGCGUACCUCAAAACAGAACUGAUGACAACUUUACUAUUUACCUUUUAGCUUGUUUCAGCAGUAAUUUGCACAGACAUGCAGCAGAUGUUUUAUUUG